UACGUAGGGUGCAAGCGUUGUCCGGAAUUAUUGGGCGUAAAGAGCUCGUAGGCGGUUUGUCACGUCUGCUGUGAAAACCCGAGGCUCAACCUCGGGCCUGCAGUGGGUACGGGCAGACUAGAGUGCGGUAGGGGAGAUUGGAAUUCCUGGUGUAGCGGUGGAAUGCGCAGAUAUCAGGAGGAACACCGAUGGCGAAGGCAGAUCUCUGGGCCGUAACUGACGCUGAGGAGCGAAAGCAUGGGGAGCGAACAGG
rnacentral:rRNA from 1 species